rnacentral:rRNA from 1 species
GAUGAACGCUGACAGAAUGCUUAACACAUGCAAGUCGAUUCAAUUUACCUUCGGGUAAUGAGGAUGGCGGACGGGUGAGUAACGCGUAAGGAACUUGCCUCUUGGUCUGGGACAACUGUUGGAAGCGACAGCUAAUACCGGAUAUUAUGAGAUUCUCGCAUGGGAAACUUAUGAAAGCUAUAUGCGCCAAGAGAGAGCCUUGCGUUCCAUUAGCUAGUUGGUGGGGUAACGGCUCACCAAGGCGACGAUGGAUAGCCGUCCUGAGAGGGUGACGGGCAACAAGGAGACUGAGAGACGGCCCUUACGCCGACGGGAGGCAGCAGUGGGGAAUAUUGGACAAUGGGCCACAAGCCUGAUCCAGCAAUUCUGUGUGCACGAUGAAGGUCUUCGGAUUGUAAAGUGCUUUCAGUUGGGAAGAAGAAAGUGACGGUACCAACAGAAGAAGCGACGGCUAAAUACGUGCCAGCCGCCGCGGUAACAC